GAACGCUGAAGGAGGAGCUUGCUUCUCCGGAUGAGUUGCGAACGGGUGAGUAACGCGUAGGUAACCUGCCUGGUAGCGGGGGAUAACUAUUGGAAACGAUAGCUAAUACCGCAUAACAGUAGAUAUUGCAUGACAUCUGCUUGAAAGGUGCAAUUGCAUCACUACCAGAUGGACCUGCGUUGUAUUAGCUAGUUGGUGAGGUAACGGCUCACCAAGGCGACGAUACAUAGCCGACCUGAGAGGGUGAUCGGCCACACUGGGACUGAGACACGGCCCAGACUCCUACGGGAGGCAGCAGUAGGGAAUCUUCGGCAAUGGACGGAAGUCUGACCGAGCAACGCCGCGUGAGUGAAGAAGGUUUUCGGAUCGUAAAGCUCUGUUGUAAGAGAAGAACGAGUGUGAGAGUGGAAAGUUCACACUGUGACGGUAUCUUACCAGAAAGGGACGGCUAACUACGUGCCAGCAGCCGCGGUAAUACGUAGGUCCCGAGCGUUGUCCGGAUUUAUUGGGCGUAAAGCGAGCGCAGGCGGCUUAGAUAAGGUCUGAAGUUAAAGGUCUGUGGCUUAACCAUAGUACGCUUUGGAAACUGUUUAACUUGAGUGCAAGAGGGGAGAGUGGAAUUCCAUGUGUAGCGGUGAAAUGCGUAGAUAUAUGGAGGAACACCAGGUGGCGAAAGCGGCUCUCUGGCUUGUAACUGAC
rnacentral:rRNA from 1 species